AUUGCUUCUCGGCUUUUUGGCUAAGAUCAAGUGUAGUAUCUGGCAUAUUUGGCAUUAAUAAUAAGUAGGUUUGUUAUUUUAGCCGACAAGUCCUGUAUUUUGCUUUUUAAGAUUCUUAACUGAACCUGAUAAUUAUUACACAUUUUGUUCAUCAGGUUGAGAAUA
ensembl:snRNA U2 U2 spliceosomal RNA